AGUUGAAGCUAGUGUAAGAACUAGUGGAGGACUGAACCCAUAGGCGUUGAAAAGCCCCGGGAUGACUUGUGGAUAGGGGUGAAAGGCCAAUCAAACUUCGUGAUAGCUGGUUCUCUCCGAAAUAUAUUUAGGUAUAGCGUUGUGUCGUAAUAUAAGGGGGUAGAGCACUGAAUGGGCUAGGGCAUACACCAAUGUACCAAACCCUAUCAAACUCCGAAUACCUUAUAUGUAAUCACAGCAGUCAGGCGGCGAGUGAUAAAAUCCGUCGUCAAGAGGGAAACAACCCAGACUACCAGCUAAGGUCCCUAAAUCUUACUUAAGUGGAAAACGAUGUGAAGUUACUUAAACAACCAGGAGGUUGGCUUAGAAGCAGCCAUCCUUUAAAGAAAGCGUAAUAGCUCACUGGUCUAGUGAUUUUGCGCGGAAAAUAUAACGGGGCUAAAGUAAGUACCGAAGCUGUAGACUUGCGCACAACUUAGAUUAUUUAAGUUUAGAAUAUGAGAAACUAAGUUAUAUGUUUAGUUAUAUUUUUACUGAUUUUUAUAGAGUAAAGAUAGAAAUAAAACUUAGUAAAAUCAGUAAAAAUAUUCUUAGACUAAAGUUAAGUAGUUUAAGUUGUGUGCAAGUGGUAGGAGAGCGUUCUAUUUGCGCCGAAGGUAUACCGGUAAGGAGUGCUGGAGCGAAUAGAAGUGAGCAUGCAGGCAUGAGUAGCGAUAAUUAAUGUGAGAAUCAUUAACGCCGUAAACCCAAGGUUUCCUACGCGAUGCUCGUCAUCGUAGGGUUAGUCGGGUCCUAAGUCGAGUCCGAAAGGGGUAGACGAUGGCAAAUUGGUUAAUAUUCCAAUACCAACAUUAGUGUGCGAUGGAAGGACGCUUAGGGCUAAGGGGGCUAGCGGAUGGAAGUGCUAGUCUAAGGUCGUAGGAGGUUAUACAGGCAAAUCCGUAUAACAAUACUCCGAGAACUGAAAGGCUUUUUGAAGUCUUCGGAUGGAUAGAAGAACCCCUGAUGCCAUCGAGCCAAGAAAAGUUUCUAAGUUUAGCUAAUGUUGCCCGUACCGUAAACCGACACAGGUGGGUGGGAUGAGUAUUCUAAGGCGCGUGGAAGAACUCUCUUUAAGGAACUCUGCAAAAUAGCACCGUAUCUUCGGUAUAAGGUGUGGUUCGCUUCGUAUUAGGAUUUACUCCGAAAGCGAAGAAACUUACAACAAAGAGUCCCUCCCGACUGUUUACCAAAAACACAGCACUCUGCUAACUCGUAAGAGGAUGUAUAGGGUGUGACGCCUGCCCGGUGCUCGAAGGUUAAUUGAUGGGGUUAGCAUUAGCGAAGCUCUUGAUCGAAGCCCGAGUAAACGGCGGCCGUAACUAUAACGGUCCUAAGGUAGCGAAAUUCCUUGUCGGUUAAAUACCGACCUGCAUGAAUGGCGUAACGAGAUGGGAGCUGUCUCAAAGAGGGAUCCAGUGAAAUUGUAGUGGAGGUGAAAAUUCCUCCUACCCGCGGCAAGACGGAAAGACCCCGUGGACCUUUACUACAGCUUGACACUGCUAUUUGGAUAAGAAUGUGCAGGAUAGGUGGGAGGCUUUGAGUAUAUGACGCCAGUUGUAUAUGAGCCAUUGUUGAGAUACCACUCUUUCUUAUUUGGGUAGCUAACCAGCUUGAGUUAUCCUCAAGUGGGACAAUGUCUGGUGGGUAGUUUGACUGGGGCGGUCGCCUCCCAAAUAAUAACGGAGGCUUACAAAGGUUGGCUCAGAACGGUUGGAAAUCGUUCGUAGAGUAUAAAGGUAUAAGCCAGCUUAACUGCAAGACAUACAAGUCAAGCAGAGACGAAAGUCGGUCUUAGUGAUCCGGUGGUUCUGUGUGGAAGGGCCAUCGCUCAAAGGAUAAAAGGUACCCCGGGGAUAACAGGCUGAUCUCCCCCAAGAGCUCACAUCGACGGGGAGGUUUGGCACCUCGAUGUCGGCUCAUCGCAUCCUGGGGCUGGAGCAGGUCCCAAGGGUAUGGCUGUUCGCCAUUUAAAGCGGUACGCGAGCUGGGUUCAGAACGUCGUGAGACAGUUCGGUCCCUAUCUGCCGUGGGCGUAAGAAGAUUGAAGAGAUUUGACCCUAGUACGAGAGGACCGGGUUGAACAAACCACUGGUGUAGCUGUUGUUCUGCCAAGAGCAUCGCAGCGUAGCUAAGUUUGGAAAGGAUAAACGCUGAAAGCAUCUAAGCGUGAAGCCAACUCUAAGAUGAAUCUUCUCUAAGCUCUCUAGAAGACUACUAGUUUGAUAGGCUGGGUGUGUAAUGGAUGAAAGUCCUUUAGCUGACCAGUACUAAUAGAGCGUUUGGCUUAUCUUUAAUAAAGCAU
rnacentral:rRNA from 1 species